AGCGGGCGGCGCGGCGCGGAGGGGAGGGGAGAGCAUCACCGCGCGCUCCGCCUCCCGCGCCCCGCCCGAGCCCGGCGCUCCCGGGGCGGCGCCCGGGGCCUGGGGCCGCGCCAGCCCAGAGGAGCGCCUCGGCUGGGCUCGGCUGAGGGGGUGGGGCUGGCAGAAGAGCCAGACAUCAAAGGUCGCUACUUGUUGCUUCAGAGCUGCGCCCCCCCCCCCCCCCCCCCCCCCCCGGAAAAAUCGUAUUCCGAGCACACUCCCUGCAAGAGAAACAAGCCGGUGAGAGGAUGAUUGGCAGUUUCCGAGGAUAAAGGGAUCUGAACUAUCAUUGCACGCUUAAACGUGCACAAACAGCGGGCUGAUUGAUGCGCGAGGCAUUACACUGACACCGUCUUGCGUAGGGACGGAGAUAAUUUGAUUGCAUGUGAAUAGGACUUAUAAUCGGGAUUUGAAUUUCCUAUGUUUUUCUCCUCCCGAUCCCACUUCCCUCCUCACUUUGCUAUCUCUUAGUCGUUAUGCAUGUCUUUGUGUCUUCUCACCUCCCUAUUGUCCUCUCUUACACUCCUGUACAAUGUUUCUGCCUGUCUCUGUCUCCUGCUUCCUUUCUCAGGGCUGUCAACUCCUGGAAUUUUAUCUAAAGCUUGUCAAUAUCGACUGUCUUUUUUAAACCCCUCAGCCCUGGAGGCAUAUGAUUAUACCAGAAUUGCAGCUUUCAUUAUUACAAAAAUAGAUUUAUAGCCCCACCAUUUGGGAGCUGAGCAUGAAAAAUGUAAAUCCUAAGGGUUAAAAAAAGCCACAAAUAAACUCUACAUUUGUUAUUUAAAGAAA